UACGUAGGCAGCGAGCGUUUGUUCGGAGUUACUGGGCGUAAAGGGUGCGUAGGCGGCCGAUUAAGUUUGUCGUGAAAUCUCCCGGCUUUAACUGGGAGGGUGCGGCGAGUACUGACCGGCUAGAGUGUGGGAGAGGAGAGUGGAAUUCCUGGUGUAGCGGUGAAAUGCGUAGAUAUCAGGAGGACACCGGCGGUGUAGACGGGCUCGUCUAGACCAUAACUGACGCUGAGGCACGAAAAGCGUGGGUAGCAAACAGG
rnacentral:rRNA from 1 species